GCCUAACACAUGCAAGUCGAGCGGUAACAUUUCAAAAGCUUGCUUUUGAAGAUGACGAGCGGCGGACGGGUGAGUAAUGCCUGGGAAUUUGCCCAUUUGUGGGGGAUAACAGUUGGAAACGACUGCUAAUACCGCAUACGCCCUACGGGGGAAAGCAGGGGACCUUCGGGCCUUGCGCUGAUGGAUAAGCCCAGGUGGGAUUAGCUAGUAGGUGAGGUAAAGGCUCACCUAGGCGACGAUCCCUAGCUGGUCUGAGAGGAUGAUCAGCCACACUGGGACUGAGACACGGCCCAGACUCCUACGGGAGGCAGCAGUGGGGAAUAUUGCACAAUGGGGGAAACCCUGAUGCAGCCAUGCCGCGUGUGUGAAGAAGGCCUUCGGGUUGUAAAGCACUUUCAGCGAGGAGGAAAGGGUGUAAGUUAAUACCUUACAUCUGUGACGUUACUCGCAGAAGAAGCACCGGCUAACUCCGUGCCAGCAGCCGCGGUAAUACGGAGGGUGCGAGCGUUAAUCGGAAUUACUGGGCGUAAAGCGUGCGCAGGCGGUUUGUUAAGCGAGAUGUGAAAGCCCCGGGCUCAACCUGGGAACCGCAUUUCGAACUGGCAAACUAGAGUCUUGUAGAGGGGGGUAGAAUUCCAGGUGUAGCGGUGAAAUGCGUAGAGAUCUGGAGGAAUACCGGUGGCGAAGGCGGCCCCCUGGACAAAGACUGACGCUCAGGCACGAAAGC
rnacentral:rRNA from 1 species